CCCUGGAAUCGCCUCAAAUCAAGCAGCCUAUUUGAAAACACAUGAGGGCGACAAAGACCUUCAAAUGCAUCCACUGGUUGAUCGUCCCACAUUGUCUCGAGGGAGCGCUGUUGCUUUGUCCUUCUCCAGCUCGGAUGUGAUACCCCAGGGAAGGACAAUGUGCUCCAAAUACCACAUCUGCUCCCCUCCCAGAGUCACCAUCAGGCAGUAGUUAUGCAGAGAGUUACAGACUUGAGGAGGUGUGGCAGAAUGAGACGGACACGAUGGGUGUGACAUGAGUGAUUAAGCAGAGCCACACGUUCCUGUGGAAAACAUGCCGUAUCUGUCACUACAGCUUCCUGUGUUAAAGAAUUACACCCAGAAACACCCAGAUGGGCCCCUCUCUCUCAAUCUUUCUGUCCUUCUUUUUCUCUCAACAGUGUGACACAUUCGAUCAAAGAACACAUACUUGCUUUUUAACUUGGCCAGUUCUUGAUAAACAUUAUUGUCUUGUUAAACUUGCUGCUAUUUUGUUGCCAUACUUAAUAAAACAUAAUCAGGCGGAUGUUCAGUAAAUUUAAACUGUUCAAAAUGUUGCUCUGGCUUCUA